rnacentral:rRNA from 1 species
GCCUGACGGAGCACGCCGCGUGAGUGAGGAAGGUCUUCGGAUCGUAAAGCUCUGUUGCCAAGGAAGAACGGCCCGGAGAGUCACUGCUCCGGGAGUGACGGUACUUGAGAAGAAAGCCCCGGCUAACUACGUGCCAGCAGCCGCGGUAAUA